ACCUCCUUUAGCGGUGUUGUCUCGUUCAGCGGAACGAAUGCGUGAAUUUUGGAAGCGAAAGAGAAGCCUACGUCACGUCACUGUUUCCUCGGUCGUUCACAAAGCGAGCGAUAUUCGUCCUUUUACUCAAGUUGAGAUACUCGGUGAGAGUUACCUUGCGCUAUUAGAUAGCGGAGCCAAUAAAAGCGUCAUCGGAGGAAAAUUAGCCGAUAAAAUUCUCUCGAAAAAUCUUCUGACAAACAAAAUGAAAGGCGUUGUUCGUACUGCUGACGGUCAGACUCAGAUGGUAGCUGGUUUUAUUAAAGUUCCUCUGAAUUACAAUUCAAUACACUCGGACUUUGAAUUUCUAAUAGUUUCAUCUAUCCAACAGGAUAUAAUAUGUGGAAUGGACUUUUGGAAAAGAUUUGGCAUUUCUAUCGUUCCAUCAUCAUCAUGGACAGUAAGCGAGUUAUCCUAUCAAUCCGAGCACGAGUUGCUCAAGUUAGCCUUGUCGAUUUCUCAAAAGAAGCAGUUACAGCACGUGAUCGAAUUGUUUCCGUCAUUCGAAAAGAAUGGACUGGGGUUAACGACCCUAAUAGAGCACCACAUUGAUACGGCUAACAGCAAGCCAGUUAAGCAAAGAUUUUACCCUUUGUCUCCAGCAAAGGAGACCCUUUUAUGUGCAGAGAUUGAUCGCAUGUUGAGUAUGGACGUUAUUGAAGAAGCUCCGAGCUCCCCGUGGUCAUCUCCUGUCACACUGCACAUCAAACCUGGUAAGGUGCGACUUUGUUUAGAUGCCCGCAAACUCAACGCAGUUACAGUCAGAGAUGCGUAUCCAAUUCCGAUCAUGGAUGGCUUGUUAAGUAGGUUGCCGCCGGUUCACUGUAUUACAAAGAUAGACCUUAAGGAUGCCUUCUGGCAGAUUAGAUUAGACCAAGAAUCUCGUGCGAAAACAGCUUUCACAGUACCAAAUAGGCCGCUUUAUCAGUUUAAAAGAAUGCCGUUUGGAUUGACAAACGCGCCACACACGAUGAGUCGGUUGAUGGACAUAGUAAUUCCGUAUCAACUCAAAUCUCAUGUGUUGGUAUAUCUUGAUGACUUAUUGGUGCUUUCAAACAACUUUGAAGACCACUUGCUACAUUUAUCGGAAGUUGCUCUUCAAUUACACAAGGCCGGACUGACAAUAAACAUGCAGAAGAGUCAGUUCUGUCUGAAACGGGUGGACUACCUUGGGUAUCUUGUGGGUGAGGGGACGCUUCAAGUUAAUUCAGAGAAAGUGCGAGCCGUGGAUGAAUUUCCGAUACCGAAGACUCAAAAGCAACUAAGGAGAUUUCUAGGAAUGACUGGGUGGUAUCAACGUUUUAUUCCCAACUACUCUUCUGUUAUCUUUUCUCUCACCGAACUACUCCGUGGAAAGUCGUAUGAAUGGAAUGAAAAGGCACAAGCAGCGUUUGAUGAUGUCAAGAGUAAAUUAUGCUCAGCUCCAUUUUUAAUUCAUCCCAAUUACGACAAGCCUUUUGUAGUUCAAUGCGAUGCAUCUCUUCAUGGGGUAGGUGCAGUUUUAGCCCAAUGUGAUGACUCAGGUUGCGAGCGUCCGUUAGCUUACAUGUCCAAGAAGCUGAACAAGGCUCAGCGAAACUACACGGUAACGGAACUCGAAUGCUUGGCGGUAGUACUGGCCAUAAAAAAAUUCCGCAUGUACAUCGAUGGUCAUCCCUUCAAAGUUGUUACGGAUCAUGCAAGCCUCCGUUGGCUUAUGAACCAGUCAGAUCUCAGCGGUAGAUUAGCCAGAUGGGCACUAAAAUUACAAGGUUACUCGUUCGAAAUCGAGCAUAGGAAAGGAAGCGAAAAUGUAGUGGCUGACGCUUUGUCUCGUUCAUUCGAAGGUGUUACGGAAGUAGCGGUUUUGGAAUGCGAAGUGUUACCGGAAAUCGAUAUAAAGUCGGAUGCGUUUCAGUCGCCGGAGUAUCGAUCACUCAGAGAGAAAUUCGUGCUUUCCAAACUCCCAGAUUUUCAAGUAAUCGACGAUUACAUAUAUUAUCGUACAGGGUUUUCCGUGUUGGAUUCUGACCAAGCCGAUGAGUCGUGGAAAUUAUUUGUUCCCGAAGCCUUGAGACAGGGCGUAAUUAAAGCUGCGCAUGACCAACCUUCCUCUGCACAUUGUGGGAUUGCCAAAUGCCUCGACCAAAUAAGGCAACGAUUUUACUGGCCAAAAAUGGUUAUAGACGUCCGCGAUUAUAUUUCCGCAUGUGAUGUAUGCCAGACCACAAAACAUCCCACACGCUCUCUCAAACCUCCUAUGGGCGCUAGAGUAGUUAGCGAACGUCCCUUUCAACGGUUGUACAUCGAUUUCAUUGGUCCCUUUCCUCGAAGCAGAAAGGGCAACAUAGGAAUAUUUAUCAUCCUGGAUCACUUCUCAAAAUUUACCUUCUUAAAGGCGGUCAAGAAAUUUACUUCCCAGAUAGUGAUUGACAUAUUGAGGGAAGAGAUAUUUUCAUGUUAUGGAGUGCCGGAAGUGCUAGUGAGCGAUAACGGUACGCAGUUUAAAAGUAGUGAUUUUUCUAAAUUCCUUUUGAAGUACGGUGUUCAGCACUUAUGUACAGGGGCGUAUGCUCCACAGUCGAAUGCCGCGGAAAGGGUUAACCGAUCGAUUAAUGCCGCGCUCAGAGCGUACGUUCGUACUGACCAUCGUGAAUGGGAUGUGUUCCUUAGUAGCAUAAACUGUUCGUUGAGAAAAUCAAUACACCAAUCAGUUGGCAUGGCACCAUAUUUUGUGGUCUUUGGUCAGCACAUGAUUUCACAUGGCCAAGAUUACAAAAUGUUGCGAGAAGUCGAAUUACUCAACGAGGGUGAGGGAAAAUUGUCAAGAGCUGACGAAUUUCAGAAGAUUCGCUCAAACAUCGAGAAACACCUGACAAAAGCUUACGAGAGAAAUCAACGCACUUACGACCUGAGAUCCAAGCCUCGUUCGUUUGAGGUAGGUCAAGAAGAAGAGAAAUUUUUCUUUGAGUAGCGCGGCCAAUAACGUUAACGCUAAACUAGCUCCAGUUGGAGUGAAGGCUCGCGUAAAGCAGAAAUGUGGCCAACUGAUUUAUCUACUGGAAGACUUGAACGGUAAAGAGCUGGGGAAAUUUCACAUUAAGGAUAUUUGGUAGCUAGAGACAAAAGUCUGCACCCUUCCUUGUUGUUGUUUCAGUUUUAUCUUUGGUCAAAACCCUAAGAUAAAAUCUGGCGGGGGGGUGUGAAGGUUGCAGACCAAAAACAAAAGGUUAGAAUGUUUGUUUGUUUUUGGGGAACAGUCUUCUAAUUUUAUCAAGAAAAUAUUGAACCUCCCCCACUGUACGCAUUCCAGCGAGAGCCCACAUGCAAGAUCAGAAGCUGUUAUCUUGAAAAGCUCUCUCUUUCGAAAUUGCAUGUGCGAGCACCGUUCACAUGUGAGCUUUUCUCUCUUCAAACAUAGCUUACGGCUAGCCCUUCGAGAACCUUCUUAGCUCUCUCAUACACAGCUUUUGGAGGGGUAAAAUAGUUAGGCUAAGUGCAUGCUGCACAGAACAAAAAUUGCAUUCAAGGUUUGAAGACUUAAUUGAUGUGCGUGUAGAAAAUAUACAAAAACAAAAAAAAACGUGGUGAAAAGUUUGCAAAACCAUAAAAGGGAACAUAACCCAAAUAAAAAAACAAUAUAAAAGUGUUGUGGCUGCAAGACGAAACAAAAAAACCAACCCCUGGAUAAGGUACGCCAAGAGAAAAAAAAAUGAAAAAGUGACCUUAUUACAUAAUUCCAUGUAUGUACUGUACAUAGGUUUUGAUCCACGUGUGGCAGGAAAUUGCUGACCUGGCCUGACCCUCGGUCUCGGAGGGGGGGUCCGCUCCAGUACCACGAUCAUCCGUCCCUCUUUUUGGUGCCACCGGACCUUGCCUGCAGGCGAAAAAAACGGAUGGACCUGGCGAUCGGGACCGAGUUGUUUAUAUACAUAUAUCUCACGCGCAACUAUAAAACCAUCUUUAUAUAUUAUAUCACCGCGCCUUGUGUAAAGAAUUGUUGGUGCUUGCAUAUGUAGGGUGUGGAAAAAUUAGCUCAGCGGUCAUUGCCCUUGCGGCUGACCAUACACCUAUGCGCACUUAAAUAGACCCACCUGACCGUAUGUCACCUAUUCUCUCCUUCUCUCAGGUUAUUAAAAUUGUUCGAUGCCGACAUUCUAAAAGCCACUUAAGGGAAGAAAAGUAAAUCACAAAAUCUAGAAAAGAAAAUGUAAUGAAAAAUUAUGGAUAGAAAAAAAAAUAGAGAAGAAAAUUGUUCAAUAAUAUUAAAUAUUCCUAGACAUUAACUUAGAAUAGAAGAAGAAAAACAUGAAAUUUAUGCGUAGUUAAUAAUAGAUUCUAAAGGGUGCAUCAUCGGUCUCAUUGUGUCCAUGGAAGGGUAUUGGUAAAAUACCUCUUCAUAACGCUUCUUGUUAUUUUGCAUAUUUCUACAUUUCUUUAACAGUUAGAACGUGAAAUUGGGCCCAACGACACCAACAGCUGUUUAAAAGUCUGUAAGUAGACACA
rnacentral:lncRNA from 1 species